AUUGAACGCUGGCGGCAUGCCUUACACAUGCAAGUCGAACGGCAGCAUGGAGGAGCUUGCUCCUCUGAUGGCGAGUGGCGAACGGGUGAGUAAAGCAUCGGAACGUGCCGUGUAGUGGGGGAUAACGUCGGGAAACUGACGCUAAUACCGAAUACGCCCUAUGGGGGAAAGAUUUAUCGCCAUUAGAUGGGCCCGCGCUGGAUUAGCUAGUUGGUAAGGUAACGGCUUACCAAGGCGACGAUCUAUAGCUGGUCUGAGAGGAUGAUCAGCAUCACUGGGACUGAGACACGGCCCAGACUCCUACGGGAGGCAGCAGUGGGGAAUAUUGGACAAUGGGGGAAACCCUGAUCCAGCCAUGCCGCGUGAAUGAUGAAGGCCUUCGGGUUGUAAAGUUCUUUUGGCGGGGACGAUGAUGACGGUACCCGCAGAAUAAGCUCCGGCUAACUUCGUG
rnacentral:rRNA from 1 species